UGUCACGCUGGCAUGCAAGGAUAAGACACCCGAUGUGUUGGGGAGUUUUCUCACUGGUCAUGUAUCACUGUUAAACCGUCUGACCUGCUGCUAAAAACACUGGCCUUCAUUACUGCUGACAGGAUUCAUCAACAAGCUUACAUAGCAGUGUCAGGAAGCUGCAGGCAGAAAAACCUACUGACCUUUGACCCUUGCGCUGCCAGAGACCCGAGGGCUAGAAUUCAGCUUCCACACCCAGAACAAAGUAGAGCUCUAAAAAAGCUCAGAAGCUUUGUCUCCCAGACUGAGAGAAGCUAGGGAAUAACUAGCACUGUGUAACACGCUAAAGAAAAAACAUUUACCAGUUUUCUGUAUUUUUCUGUAAAAAUAAAAAGAUCUUUAAAAAUG